rnacentral:rRNA from 1 species
AUUGACCGCUAGCGGCAGGCCUAACACAUGCAAGUCGAACGAGUGGCGGACGGGUGAGUAAUGUCUGGGAAACUGCCUGAUGGAGGGGGAUAACUACUGGAAACGGUAGCUAAUACCGCAUACCCUCAGAUGUGCCCAGAUGGGAUUAGCUUGUUGGUGGGGUAACGGCUCAACCAGGCGCCGAUCCCUAGCUGGUCUGAGAGAAUGACAAGCCACACUGGAACUGAGACACGGUCCAGACUCCUCCGGGAGGCAGCAGUGUGGAAUAUUGCACAAUGGGGGCAAGCCUGAUGCAGCCAUGCCGCGUGUAUGAAGAAGGCCUUCGGGUUGUAAAGUACUUUCAGCGGGGAGGCGUUACCCGCAGAAGAAGCACCGGCUAACUCCGUGCCAGCAGCCGCGGUAAUUC